CAGCAGCCGCGGUAAUACGGAGGGCGCGAGCGUUGUCCGGAUUCACUGGGCGUAAAGCGGGUGUAGGCGGUCGGGUAAGUCGGACGUGAAAGCCCGGGGCUCAACCCCGGAAGGGCGUCCGAAACUGCUCGACUUGAGGGCGGGAGAGGGAGGUGGAAUUCCCGGUGUAGCGGUGAAAUGCGUAGAUAUCGGGAGGAACGCCGGUGGCGAAGGCGGCUUCCUGGCCCGUUACUGACGCUGAGGCACGAAAGCCAGGGGAGCGAACCGGAUUAGAUGCCCGGGUAGUCCGGGCUGUAAACCAUGGGCGCUAGGUGUGGGUGGUGGUGAGCCAUCUGUGCCGAAGCUAACGCGUUAAGCGCCCCGCCUGGGGAGUACGGUCGCAAGGCUGAAACUUAAAGGAAUUGGCGGG
rnacentral:rRNA from 1 species